CCCUUAGAUGUCCUGGGCCGCACGCGCGUUACACUGAUGCAUUCAACGAGCUUAUAACCUUGGCCGAGAGGCCUGGGCAAUCUUGUUAGCGUGCAUCGUGAUAGGGAUAGAUUAUUGAAAUUAUUAAUCUUGAACGAGGAAUUCCUAGUAAACGCAGAUCAUCAAUCUGCAUUGAUUACGUCCCUGCCCUUUGCACACACCGCCCGUCGCACCUACCGAUUGGAUGGUCCGGUGAAGCCUCGGGAUUGUGGUUCUUGCCGCUUUAUUGUGGCGUGACCGCGAGAACUUGUCUAAACCUUAUCAUCUAGAGGAAGGUGAAGUCGUAACA
rnacentral:rRNA from 1 species